AGUUCAAGAGUACGUAAAACCGUUUAGGGGUAAACCUGAGAAACCCGAAAGGUCGAAGGGAGAAAUUCAUUCGCGUUUCGACGUAGGCGUCGGACGGGGUCUGAAGCGACGAAACACGUUUUUCGGAACGAAAGUUUUGCGCCCUCCGUCCUUCGAACCGGCGACGAACGCGUGCACUUUUCUCCUGGUAGGACGUCGCGAUCCGUCGAGUGUCGGUCUACGACUUGCGGUGGAGACCGUCCGUCGUUUCGUACGUACGGACGGACCCGUUUGUUCCGGCCGGCUCGCUCGACGGUAUACGUUAAGGUCGGAGGCCGCUCGUGGAGCGUUCGACUCGUCGCAAGCGCGCCAUUUGUCUCGGCACGCGGACUCUGUGCCGCGUCCGAACUCUGGUGACUGUUGGCGACGAUGUUCUCGGACAGACCUCUUUGACACCGAUCGGCGACGCUAUAGCUUUGGGUACUUUCAGGACCCGUCUUGAAACACGGACCAAGGAGUCUAGCAUGUACGCGAGUCAUUGGGACUCGCUAAACCUAAAGGCGUAAUGAAAGUGAAGGUCUUCUUCGCGAAGACCGAGGGAAGACGGACGGUUUGUGAUUUUGAAUCGAUUAAACCACCCUAAAAAGUGGGGCCGUCCUGCAUUCCCGGGGCGUCUCGUUCACAUUGCGUGAAGAGGCGCACCAACAGCGUACACGCUGGGACCCGAAAGAUGGUGAACUAUGCCUGGUCAGGACGAAGUCAGGGGAAACCCUGAUGGAGGUCCGUAGCGAUU
rnacentral:rRNA from 1 species